CAGCGUAGGCAAAUUCUUUACCAUCUUUACCAGCCACCACCCUGGGCCCAAAUCCCAGCUCUGAUGCUUCUGAGACAGGACGGGAAGGCUCAUGCUUUCACUGGCCUCCGUGUGAAAAUCAAGGAUUGCGUUUCUCUUGAGGCUGCAGAUGAUACAGACUGUGGACAUCAACCCUGACCAGAGUGGUGCUCUGCAGAGCAGGGGUCAGAUCUCACAGGCGUGUCCCACUGCUGCCCUGGAAGCCCCCUCCCAAACCCUGAGUGCUUUCUGCCUGUUAGGAUGGCACGAAGGCAGACUGUCCCGAAGGCAGAUGGGAAGGAACAGCCCAGCAGACACAUGCAGCCUACAGAGGCUUCUCGCAAUACUGCCCACGCAGGUGGCAAGUGGCCCACAGCGCGGCAGGGAUGUGCCUGUCACACACCAAGUGGCAGGGCGGGCCGGCCAGAGGACAGCCUCCCACGUGUCUCCCCAGCGAGUCCUGGAGCGGGAGUGACGCAACUCAGGGGCUGUGGGUGGGGGCCGCUCUCAUCCUCACUGCCACGUUGCUCCCUGUCUGCUGAAUCAAGCUCGCGUCACCGGUCUGUGAGACGCCCUGGUGCACAGCCACCAUCCCGGGGACCCAACUGGCAGACAGGAGAAGGCCUGGCACUGACCAGCCUAAAGGGCUCGGGCACUGGGCCAGAGCUGGGCCGGGCCUCAGCUGGGGUGGGACCUCUCCACACGGGAGUUGCAGAACCGGUUUUCCAUCCCCAAGAAGGAAGGUGGCCAUGGGGUGGAGAGGCAGCAACAGGACAGAUGUGGACAGGAUGAUGCCGGGACGACGCGGAAACCGACAGGCCAGAGGCUUCUCCAGAGAUACCUAUUCGGUUCAUUGAAGAAGUAUCACUCAAGUUAAGACCAGGUUUGUACAAGUUCAUUCUUGUAAUGUAUUAAGUGGGGCAGAGGGCAGGGGAAUUGGUUUGAACUUUCCAUGGGAACAAUUUCUUCUAAAUCUGGUUCUAUUAAAAAAAACAUGUAUUUAUUUGGCUGUGACGAGUCUUAGUGGCAGCACACGGGAUCUUCCAUCUUCGCCACGGCAUGCAGUGUGAACUCUUGGUUGCAGCAGGUAGGAUCUAGUUCUCUGAUCAGGGGUUGAACCUGGCCCCCUGCUGUGGGGGCGUGGAGUCUCAACCACAGGACCACCAGGGAAAUCCCUAACUCUGGUUCUUUUAUCUUCCUUGGCACGCCUGGACUUCCUUCCCCCACACCACCAUCCUCCCCAGCCUCUCUGCAGGUCUAGAGAAGCCACGUUCAUCUCAACCCUGACAGAGUACGCUUGCUCUCCAGGUAUGCCGAGGGCAUGGCAGAAGGUCACCCCAUGCUGUUUCCACUCCUUCCUUACCACAAAACCACGGCAGCUGGAUCAGACCUGCCUGCAGACAAGUGAACACGGAGCAUGCUCUCGCAUACGCGGGCCCCCGUCCCCAGGGCCUGUCCUGAGAGGCCCUGGAACACAGCCCUGUCUGGGGUCUCCCUGCACGCCAGGGCUGGCCCUCCAGAGGGAGUCCCUGUGCCCCUGAUUACCAGCCAUGACCUGCCUUUGACUCGCUGGAGCAUGUUCCGAGGAGACAACUGGAAGCCCCUGCCAUGGGGAACCUGCUGCCAGGGAGAUAAGAACAUAUAAGUCUAAGUAAAAUAGCUGCUUGUGUCA